rnacentral:rRNA from 1 species
UACGAAGGGGCUAGCGUUGCUCGGAAUCACUGGGCGUAAAGCGCACGUAGGCGGCUUUUAAGUCAGGGUGAAAUCCUGGAGCUCAACUCCAGAACUGCCUUUGAUACUGAGAAGCUCGAGUCCGGGAGAGGUGAGUGGAACUGCGAGUGUAGAGGUGAAAUUCGUAGAUAUUCGCAAGAACACCAGUGGCGAAGGCGGCUCACUGGCCCGGUACUGACGCUGAGGUGCGAAAGCGUGGGAG